GACAGGGGUGGCAAGCGUUAAUCGGAAUUACUGGGCGUAAAGCGUGCGUAGGUGGUCCGGUAAGUCAGAUGUGAAAGCCCUGGGCUUAACCUGGGAAUUGCAUUUGAUACUGCCAGACUAGAGUUUGGUAGAGGGAAGUGGAAUUCCACGUGUAGCGGUGAAAUGCGUAGAUAUGUGGAGGAACACCAGUGGCGAAGGCGGCUUCCUGGACUAAAACUGACACUGAGGCACGAAAGCGUGGGGAGCAAACAGG
rnacentral:rRNA from 1 species